rnacentral:rRNA from 1 species
CCUACGGGUGGCAGCAGUGGGGAAUAUUGCGCAAUGGGCGAAAGCCUGACGCAGCGACGCCGCGUGAGGGAUGAAGGUCUUCGGAUCGUAAACCUCUGUCAGCAGAGAAGAACGGUCACUGUGCUAAUCAGCAGUGAAUUGACGGUACCUGCAAAGGAAGCACCGGCUAACUCAGUGCCAGCAGCCGCGGUAAUACGGAGGUUGCGAGCGUUAAUCGGAAUUACUGGGCGUAAAGCGCUCGUAGGCGGUAUGUCAAGUCAAGGGUGAAAUCCCCGGGGUCAACGUGGGAACUGCCUUUGAGACUAGCAAACUAGAGUUAGAGAGAGGAAAGUGGAAUUCCAGGUGUAGGAGUGAAAUCCGUAGAUAUAUGGAGGAACAUCAGUGGCGAAGGCGACUAUCUGGCACAUAACUGACGCUGAGGGGCGAAAGCGUGGGUAGCAAACAGGAUUAGAUACCCCAGUAGUC